GGCGGUGGCGGUGGUGGCGGAGGAGGGUCGAAUUGCACUGACAACCACCGACGCUGUCAAGAGUGGGCCAAUCGCGGAGAAUGCAAGAAAAAUCCUCGUUACAUGCUAAUAUACUGCAAGAAGAGUUGCAAUGUGCAGUGUUAAAGAGAUUAAUCAGAUUAAAGAUACAAUGCAGCAA